GACGAACGCUGGCGGCGUGCUUAACACAUGCAAGUCGAGCGAUGAAGCUCCUUCGGGAGUGGAUUAGCGGCGGACGGGUGAGUAACACGUGGGCAACCUGCCUCAUAGAGAGGAAUAGCCAUUCGAAAGGAUGAUUAAUACCUCAUAAUAUUGUAGCUUCGCAUGGAGCAACAAUCAAAGGAGCAAUCCGCUAUGAGAUGGGCCCGCGGCGCAUUAGCUAGUUGGUGAGGUAACGGCUCACCAAGGCGACGAUGCGUAGCCGACCUGAGAGGGUGAUCGGCCACAUUGGGACUGAGACACGGCCCAGACUCCUACGGGAGGCAGCAGUGGGGAAUAUUGCACAAUGGGGGAAACCCUGAUGCAGCAACGCCGCGUGAGUGAUGACGGCCUUCGGGUUGUAAAGCUCUGUCUUCAGGGACGAUAAUGACGGUACCUGAGGAGGAAGCCACGGCUAACUACGUGCCAGCCGCCGCCGUAA
rnacentral:rRNA from 1 species